rnacentral:rRNA from 1 species
UAGAAGGCAGCAGUGGGGAAUAUUGCACAAUGGGCGAAAGCCUGAUGCAGCUAUGCCGCGUGUAUGAAGAAGGCCUUAGGGUUGUAAAGUACUUUCAUCGGGGAGGAAAAACAAAACUAAUAAUUUUAUUUCUUGACGUUACCCGAAAAAGAAGCACCGGCUAACUCCGUGCCAGCAGCCGCGGUAAUACGGAGGGUGCUAGCGUUAAUCAGAAUUACUGGGCGUAAAGAGCACGUAGGUGGUUUUUUUAAGUCAGAUGUGAAAUCCCUGGGCUUAACCUAGGAACUGCAUUUUGAAACUGAAAUACUAGAGUAUCGUAGAGGGAGGUAGAAUUCUAGGUGUAGCGGUGAAAUGCGUAGAUAUCUGGAGGAAUACCUGUGGCGAAAGCGGCCUCCUAAACGAAUACUGACACUGAGGUGCGAAAGCGUGGGGAGCAAACAGGGAUUAGAUACC